GCCCACUUAGCUCAGUUGGUUAGAGCGUCGCCAUGGUAAGGCGAAGGUCGGCGGUUCGACUCCGCCAGUGGGCUCCA
rnacentral:tRNA from 1 species